rnacentral:lncRNA from 1 species
GCUGCCCAGGCUUCCUCCGUCCAUCGAUGUGAUAUUCAUUGAUGAUGCGGCGAAGGAAGGAAUGGUGGGGAAGGCGACGACGGCAUCUACUCCGGUGGCGGAGGUGGAGACGGCGGCGCUUGUCCCGGGGGUUGAGACAGAGGCGGUGUGUGACGACCGACCCCAAAAUCUUCCGAGGUAAUCUUAAUCCGAGCCCCUGAUCACCUAUCUUAGUUUUCCAAGCCUAAGUGUUCAACCUCCCGACCGGUCCCGACCCCUGAGACCCGACCCCUCUCCACUGGCCUCCAGUUUCGACCCCGCCGACCCCAACUCACCGCCGGAUCUUUCUGAGUCAUCCCCCAACACCUCCCUUUAAUCUGACCGGUGGGCCCACGAGAUCUUUUCUCCCAGAUCCCCCGCGACAGGCGCACUCGAGUUGCAUGCUCGCUUCAAAGUUCCCCCGCCGCGUGGCUCAACUCCUCUGACGUCCGCCGCUCCGCCUCGUCUUCGGCCCGCGACCAAAUGGAUUCUCGCGCCCUCCUCCCCAAUCGCAGCGGAAGCCCCUCUGCAACCUUUCUACAGCACCUCGCGGCCCGCGCCCAUCAUCACAUCGCCAGAUCCCGGCCGCAGAGCCCGAUGUCGCCCGUCUUUUCCAUCACCUCGCCACAGUCGCGCCGCCUGGUCUUCGCUACCCGACGAUUCCCCCUCCGCCAACCCCGACCACGGCAGCGACAACUCCUUUUCCCGCCCUGUCAGAGGCCGCUCGACAAUCUGUUGCUCCGUGCUCGCCCGCGCACCCGCAGCCGCCUGUCUUCUCACCUGUGCGCCCUCGUUCCUAGUGCCAUUAUCCUGGUCACUUCCAUCAGCUCCACCGCACGACGACGCCCACCUCCGCCAAAUCUCAACCACCGGCAAACCCGCGCCUGCGCCGCCCUGACGCCAGAGCCCAAUGACCGCUGGCGUCAUCCCCGAAGUCCUGCUCCACCGCCCUCGUCGCUCAAUCACCACCUGGGCAGAGCACUCCAUUGCUUCCUCCCCGGCCUUCGCGCCGCUCCCCUUCUCACUCCAGCGCCGCUAUAAAAGGGAAUGUGUGAGCCCCACCGGAGUCCCCUUCGCCAUCGCUACCCUUCCGCCAUUCCUCUUGCUCCCUGUUCGAGCUCCCAGCGCCACCACACUAAGUUCCUGAGGGACUCUCCUCUCCGCUCCACACCAUUUUCCCCAAUCCACCCAGCAGCUUGCUCCUCCGUGCUGUGUAAGAGCUUACUUGUGAUCCACAAGAAGCACCGCCGCCGCCGGAGCACCGCCGAGCCUCGCCGCUGUUCAAAGCCUUAGUCCCUCCGCCCAAGUCUGCUUCUUCCCGACCCCAAGCUUUCCUUGUAAGACGAAGGUAAGCUGCCGACCCCUUUUCCGCCUCGUCCAACCCUUCUGUUUGUCCGACCCCUUUUCCGUCUCGCCCGACCCUGUCUGUUCUGCCGACCCUUGUCCGCUUCGCCCGACCCCUCUUAUCCGCCCGACCCUGUCUGUUCCGCUGACCCUUCUCCGCCUCGCCCGAGGACUCGACUGUAUCUUUUUUCCUUGACCCAAGGGUAUAUGUGUAAAACUUGGGGACCUUUCAGCGUUGAGUCUGAGGACCCCUAGCACACCAAAUCCUCUAGAUUAAGGGUCAGAUCCUAAGUUUCCUUCCUCCGACCCUUACCUCUUGAUCUCCACCCACUCCUUUGAACCUCCCCACCCUCCUGUUACAUGUCGCAAGUUUCUGGGCUCAGACUUGCAAGUGUUGCUGUUGAAAUAACCGUCUAAAAUGCUAACUCUUGCAUUGCUUUUCGUGUAGAGCUGCGUCUCGCCGACGGCUACUACGAGCUGCACCCAGUGCCAGAAGACGACGGUGUAGCCGAGCUCCUGCCCCCAGAAGCCGAAGCCGCCCAAGCAGAAGAGCAGCUUCCUCCUUUCUCGCUUGAAGGCAAGCCCCGGAUGCAUGAAUCCCCUAUGUUUUCCAAACUUGCGCAUGCCUUCCUUAAACAUGCUUGUGCAUUUACGUAUAGGAGUUGGUUGGAACCCUAGAUGCAUGACUUAGCUCUCAUGAUCUGAACACUAGCUGUUGGACCGAGUAACUGCUUUGCUUAAAUAGGAAGCGGUAAAAGUCGAGUGAUUUCCUGUCACUCGCGAGUUGUAGGAGUUGGUUGUCUUCCUCCUGUCACAACUGUAAGGACGAUGGACGGGGCAGGGUUUUGGGUAACUCUUUGGUGGUCGGUUGAUCGCCCCGUCUGUCUAUGAAACUUGCUAAGGCCCGACAGUGGUGGUGUUCGUGAUCAAGUGUUUGAAAGUACUAACCUCAUACUUAGUAUGGGAUGAGGAAGCCUAGUACUGGAUUGAACCUAAACGUGAGCAGUCGCCCCAUUGUUCUUGGAACGGAGUUUCCCCUGCUAGUUGUCGCACGUGGUGGCAAGCGUGGUCAUAGAACGGCAGAGGCCGGGUCUGUGGAACCUUGCACCAAAGGAAAUGGGCCCGACACGGGUUAGGGGAUUGAUGGGGAAGGCCGACACAGGAAGUGACCUCCGGGUGCGCGGAUGUCGUGAGGUUAGGUUCACCAUGCAUGGUUAAAGAACUCGAAUCGAUUCGUCUGCCUCUCACAGUUUGAGACUGCUUGAUCGCUAUGCUACCCUGAGUAAGAAAGAAAUAUAAUGAUGACAUGGUCUUGAUGAUGUUAUAUAUAUACCUUUGGUUGGUUCUAUGAUUGCUUAGAAUAGGUUGCAAAACUUAGACCGGAUAAUGAACUUAGAACCGGAGCUAAAACAUGAAAAUAGGGUUUUACUUAGUGCUUCUUGGCAAUCAAACCCCCUCAGCCAAAGAGCCUUGCAUGUCUAGUUUUUGUGGAGUUGUUACUCCUGUCGGUUAAGUCUUGUUGAGCUUAGUAGCUCAGCCUUGUUGUGGCUCCUGUUUUUCAGGUGAAGUUGCUGCUCCCGAGCCUUCUUCCGCUGGCACUUGGCCGUCCCAGCUCCCUCCGGGUUGGACGGUCGAGUGGGAUCCCUCCUCGAACAGCGAGGAAAGGGAUCACUGACGUCUUGGCUGGCCUCACCAAGGACGUCCGACCCCUGCGUUUAGCUUCCGCUUGCUGUUUUACCUUCUGUUGUUUUCUUUUGGAACCUUGUAAAACUCUGAUUUGUUUUUCUGGCCGAAUUAAAUGGUUAAGUUGUUCAACUCGGUGGACUUGUUGUAUUCUCUGGAACCACUCACCUUCGUGUGAGGUUGCUAACUCGAUCCUGUUCAUGUGGUUAAUCGGGUGAAAUCCGACGGCUCUUUGUGUUAACUUGGCUUAGGCAUGGGUGUCGCAUGUUAGGUGACUUAACCCUGUUUAAUCAAGUUAAUCCGAAGUGGAUCCGCCACAGCUGGUACCAGAGCAGGUUAGCAACACAGAGAAAACAACAAGCCCUCACACACUUCUUUGAAAAGAUAAAAGUUGCAAGAAACUCUUUGAAAAAUCUCGUACGAUCGUUAAGGAUGACUUUAGUGCGAGAAGCCCUAAGGGAUUUUGGGGUUGUUUUAGGUGGCUAAUAUUUUAUCUGGUUAUCUUGCUAACCCUUCCAGCACUUCGCCAUGUUUAUCAUACAUGUGCCGAGUUCCGCAUCACGAGUAUGCGAGGGUUGAUAGGGAGUUCUAUUCAAAGGACCCUAUCGUCGCGGUUGUUUCGCCCACGUCUAUCAUACGUGCGCAGGUUCCGUAUGUAAUCCAUACGAAGGUUGGUACGGUUCGAUUCCAAUGAGCCUAUCAGCACGGUUGUUCGCCACGUCUAUUAUACGUGCGCUGAUUCCGCAUCACGAGUAUGCGAAGGGUUAUACGGUUCCAUUCAAAGGGAACCUAUUUCCACGGUUGAGAGCUGUCCAUGCAGCCUUAAACGCAUGGGUGUCGAUCCUAUAGUGAGCGGUAAUGUUUGGGAACGCUUUCGUGGGUGCUGGCAUGAAAGGUUCGUCUGUGGUGGUGUUUUUCUGCAGGUACACUAACCGCGUUCGCUUAGGAGACGUUGCUAGAACCGACUAGCUAUUAUAGGGAGAGACGUACUUGUUGCCUUGCCACCGGCACUAACUGCGUAAGACCAAGUUUUGGCAGUUGUUUUGGUUGAGAACAAGGUAGACCGUUCAUGCGACAUAAACUAAAAUCUGUUAAGUCACCCUCCUCAAUAGCAACCUUGCUCGAAGAAGCUCUUCUUCGGUUCUAAGGAUUUCUAGUUUCUUCCAGCUUGUUCUCAGUUAAAAUCUGGAUGCUUUCUUUGUCUGACCCCUGACCCUUGGAGUCCAUCUCACGUGGUUUUGGUUUCUUGGUUCCAGAUGGCCGUCCCCGGACACGUUUUGUUUGGAGCGGAUGGCACCUUCCAUUCAACGUGUCUACACUUCGAGGGCUUCCCCGCGAUCUUGUGGGAUACCUUGAAAUGGUUCGGGUACCAGUCCCCACCGUUGUAUGCGGGACGACUGUACCUGGAGCAAGGCAUCCAGACGUGCAACGUACAGGCGGUAGUACCUCCUCCUCCUGUGCGGCCCGACUGGCCCUCGUUCGGGAUAUCAGCAUAUGGUCUUGCCCCAGAAGACACCUGGGAGUCCGCCGCCCUUCAACUCCUUACUCGAUUCUGUCAGUUACACCCACUGGAGGUCACCCUAGACCCCAUUGGCCUGUUCCCUGCCAGGAACCGGCUGGAUCCGGCGUGGCUCGACCGCGUCGGAAAUAUCGAGGUGCUGGCCACCACCUACUCUAUGGUCACCAUCACCACCAACAUCCGGUGUAUGACAGCCCUCUAUCGGAUGAUUGAGCUCCAAGGAAGAGCCAUGACCAUUCUUGCUCGGACCGCCGUGGAUGCCCAAGGACACCUCCAGGCCGCCAGAAGAGACCUGGUAGGCCAAACCUAUCAGCUUAUCCAACGAGGCGUUCAGAUCCAUGACAUGCAAGACAGAAUUUCUGAGCUCGAAAGAGAAGUAUCCGACCUGGUGGACGGCAUGAUCGAGCUAUCAGAGGAGAAAAUGGAAGUGGAAAUGGAGCUGGCGGUUGCCAAUACUCACCUGGACGAGCAUCAAGCCGAGCUUGACGAUAUGCACGCCCUCCAUAUGCAACUAGAAGCUCAAGAGGACCCCGAGGAGGUUGAGGGAGCGUCCAGUAUGGACAUUGAAGAGGAUGGCGCCCCUUCUCCUACUCAUAGUGUUCAUUUGUAGAUGAAGAGUUGCAAGGAACUCAUUCUUUUGUUGUACUCCUCGGCAGCCUAAUUGUUGGAAAGAUCUGUAAUAGGUUAGCCUUGAGUCGAGUACUCCCUGUGUUUGGAACACCUCUGUAAAAAAAAAGAUCCCAAUGAAAUCAAAUCCUGAGUCUGACCUUUAACUCUUUGGCAAAGUGUUGGAAUGUUAGACUAAGUAAGUUGUGCAGUGACCACACACGUUGUUUUCUGUGGGUCUGUUCAAGUUUGGCCGACCCUGGUUCGUGAGAUCGGAUGCGGCCGACCCCUCGAGGCAUUUCUCCGCCUCGCCCGACCUUUCGAGGCAGUCUCCGCCUCGCCCGACCCCUUUUUAGUGUGGAUCGUUGCCGACCCCUUUUUCUCGGGAUGAUCGCCUAGCCCGACCCCUUGGCUUAAGUUCAGAUGUAAGGGAAUUCCAGGAGUCUGGGUAGGGUAUGGUUCGCCCGAAGUCGAGUACACAUGUAACGACCGACCCCUAAGCCUUCCCAGUUAGGCUUAAUCCCAUCCCUUAACCUUAGUCAGCUGUUUGGCUUGACCGCACCUAAGUGCCCAGUUUUCCGCCGGUCCCGACCCCUGAGAUCCGACCCUUGCCUGCUUCGCUCCUCUCCCGACCCCGGCGAGCUCAGUUCACCGUCAGAUCCUGCUGAACUCCCUCCCCCAUCAGAUCUAUCCACAGGUGGACCCGCGAGAUCUUUUCCAGAUCCCCCGCGACAGCCGCACUCGGGUUGCAUGGCCGCCCCCAGAGUUUCCUUGCCGCGUGGCUCGUUUUCUCCGACGCCACCGCUCAGUUUUGUCUCAGGCAAGCAGCAGAGUGGGUUCCCGCGCCCCUUUUCCCCAAUAGCAGCGGAAGCCCUCUGCACCCCUUUCUGCAGAGCCUCGCCUCACGCGCCCAUCAUCACGCUACCAGAUCCCGGCCCCGGAGACCGAUGUCGCCCGUCUUUUCCGUCCCUUCAGCCACAGUUGCGCCGCCCGGUCGUCGCUACACGACGAUUCCUCUACCGCCAACCCCGACCGCGGCCGCGACAGUUCCUUUCCCCGCUCUGUCAGAAGCCGCCCGACAAUCUGUUGUUCCGCGCUCUCCCCCGCGCCCGCGUUCGGCUGUCUUCUCAGCUGUGCGCCCUCGAUCCUAGCGCCGUUUAACCGGUCGCUUCUAUCACCUCUUCCGCACGACGACGCCCGCUCUCCGCCAAAUCCCAACCACCAGUCUACUCGCCCCUACGCUGCCCUGACGGCAGAACGCAAUGAUCGCUAGCGUCACCCCCGGAGUUCUGCAGCACCGCCCUCUUUGCUCAAUCGCCGCCACGGCAGAGCACUCCAUUGCUUCUCCCCGGCCUUCGCGCCGCUCCCCUUCUCUCUCUCCGCGCCGUUUCCGUUCCUUUACCUCAGCAGCUAUAAAAGGAAUGCCCCCGCCGUCGGAGUUCCCUCCGCUCUUGUUGCCCUUAGCUUCUCUCGCUACCUGCCCAAGCUCCUAGCGCCAUACACCAAGUCUUGAGGAGCUCUGCUCUCAGAUUCUCUCAGUUUUCUCCAAGUCACCCAGCAGCUUGCUCCCCGUGCUGCGUAAGAGCUCUCUUGUGUUCCGCAAGAAGCAGCGCCGCCGCCGGAGCAUUGCCAGUCUUAGCCCUUGCUCGAAGCCUUAGUUCCUCCGCCCAAGUCUGCUUCUUCCCGACCCCAAGCUUUCCUUUCAGGAAGAAGGUGAGUUGCCGACCCCCAGUCCGCCUCGCCCGACCCCUCCUAUCCGCCCGACCCCAGUUCCGUCUCAUCCGACCCCGUCUGUUCGGCCGACCCUUAUCCGCCUCGCCCGAGGGCUUGGCUGUGAUCUUUUUCUUCAACUCGAGGGUGUAUGUGUAAAACUUGGGAAACCUUCAGCGCUUGCGUCUAAGGACCCCGGGUUUCUCACGUCCUCUAGUUCAAGGAUCAGACCACUAGUUCUUUUUCCACCCUUACCUUUUGGUUAGCAUCAGCUCUCGAACCACCAUCGCCUCCUGCUCUUUGUCGCGAGUUUCUGGGCUCAGGCAAGCCAGUGUUGCUGUUGAACUAACUGUCUGAGCUAACCCUUGCAUUGCAUUCGUGUAGAGCUGCACCUCGCCGACGGUUUCUACGAGCUUCACCCGGCGCCCGAAGAAGAAGCUGUAGCCGAGUUCCUGCCCUCCGAAGUCGAAGUCGCUCCCGGAGCCGAGCAGUUCCCAUCCUCCUUGCUUGAAGGCAAGCCCCGGUUGCAUCAGAGUCCUACGUGUUUUACCAGACUUGCGCAUGCCUUCUGCAUCAUGCCUGUGCAUUUACGUAUAGGAGUUGUUUGAAACCCUAGAUGCAUGCCUGAGUUAUCCCCAUGAUCUGAACACUAGCUGUUGGACCGAGUAGCUGCAUUGCUUAACUAGGAAAACGGUAAAAGCCGAGUGAUUUCCUGUCACUCGCGAGUUAUAGGAGUUGCAUGUUUACUUUCCUGUUAUAACUAUAAGGACGAUGGACGGGGCAGGGUUUGGGUAACUCUUUGGUGGAUGGAUGUUAGCCCCGUCUGUCUAUGAAAAUUUGCUAAGGCCCGAUAGUGGUGGUGUUCGUGAUCAAGUGUUUGAAAGUACUAGCCUCAUACUUAGUAUGGGAUGAGGAAGCCUAGUACCGGAUUGAACCUAGACGUGAGCGGUCGCCCCAUUGUUCUUGGAACGGAGUUUCCCCUGCUGGUUGUCGCACGUGGUGGCAAUGUGUGGUCACAGGACGGCAGAGGCCGGUUCUGUGGAACCUUGCACCAAAGGAAAUGGGCCUGACACGGGUUAGGGGAUUGAUGGGGAAGGCCGACACAGGAAGCGACCUCCGGGUGCGCGGAUGUCGUGAGGCUAGGUUCACCAUGCAUGGUUAAAGAACUCGAAUCGAUUCGUCUGCCUCUCACAGUCUGAGAUUGCUUGAUCGCUAUGUCACCCUGAGUAAUUGAGGAAUCUGAUGAUGGCAAUGUUGUUUGUUAUAUCUACACAUCUUGUUUGGCUCUACGGUUUCUUAGAAUAGUUGGCAAAACCUAGAUCGGUUAAUCAACUUAGAACCGGAGCUAACACUUGAAAAGAGGUUAUACUUAGUGCUUUUGGCAAACAAACCCCUCAGCCAAGAAGCCUUGCAUGUCUAGUAGGAGGAGUAGUCCUUACUCCUAUCGGUUAAGUCUUGUUGAGCUUAGUAGCUCAGCCUUGUUGUGGCUUCUGUUUUCAGGUGAAGUUGCCGCGUCCGACCCCUCUCUGGUUGGUGCUUGGCUGCCCCAGCUCCCGCCAGGCUGGACGGUCGAGUGGGACCCCUCCUCGGACGGCGAGGAGAGGACUCAGUGAUGUUCCGGCUGGCCUCGCCCGGACAUCCGACCCUGACGAAGUCUUCCGCUAGUGUUUCUCUGUCGUUUUCUUUGAGCUCUGUAAAACUCUGAUGUUAAUUUUUUUUGGCCGAACUAAUGGAGUAAGACUUGCUUAACUCACUGGACUUGUUGUAUUCUCUGUAACCGCUCACCUUCGUGUGGGUUUGCUAGACUCGAUCCUGUUUAAGUGGUUAAAUCGGAUGAAAUCCGACGGCACUUCGUGUUAGCUCGAGUUAGGCAGGAGUGUCGCAUGUUAGGCGGCUUAACCCUGUUUAAUCAAGCUAAUCCGAGGUGGUUCCGCCACAGCUGGUAUCAGAGCCGUGUUUAGCAUUCAGAGAACCCAAUGAGCCCUAAACACUUCUUUGAAAGGAUAAAAAUUGCAAGAAACUUUUGAAAAUCUCGUACGGUCGUUAAGGAUGACUUAGUGCGAGAGGCCCUAGGGGAUUUUGGGGUUGUUUCAGGUGACUAAUAAGUACUUGGUUAUGUUGCUAACCCCUCCAGCACUUCGCCACGUUUAUCAUACGUGUGCCGAGUUCUGCAUCGCGAGUAUGCGAGGGUUGAUAGGUAGCUCCAUUCAAAGGACCCUAUCUUCACGGUUGUUUUCGCCCACAUCUAUUACACGUGCGCAGGUUCCGUAUGUGUUCCAUACGAAGGUUGGUACGGCUCGAUUCCAACGAGCCUAUCGGCACGGUUGUUUCGCCACGUCUAUCAUACGUGUGCUGAUCCCGCAUCACGAGUAUGCGAAGGGUUAUAUGGUUCCAUUCAAGGGAGCCUAUUUCCACGGUUGAGUGCUGUCCAUGCAGCCUUAAACGCAUGGGUGCCGUUCCUAUAGUGAGCGGUAAUGUUUGGGGACGCUUUCGUGGGUGCUGGCACGAAAGGUUCGUGUGUGGUGUUCUUCUGCAGGUUGCUAACCGCGCUCGUUAAGACGUCGCUAGAACCGACUAGAUAUUAUAGGGAGAGACGUAUUGUUGCCUUGUCACCGGCGCUGACCGCGUAAGACCCAAAGUUCGGGCAGUUGUUUUGGUUAAGAGUACGGUAGGCCGUCCAUGCGUCAUGCGGUCCCUUUUUCUCAGCAGCAACCCUGUCCGAAAGAGUUCUUUUGAUCUAAGGAUUUCUAGUUUCUCUUAGUUGCUCUCGGUGAAACCUGUCUGCUUUUCUCUCCGACCCCUGAUCCUUGGAUCUAUCUCACGUGUUUCCGGUUUUCUUGGUUCCAGAUGGCUGUUCCCGGGCAUGUUGUUUUUGGAGCGGACGGUACUUUCCAGUCAACGUGCCUGCAUUUCGAGGGUUUUCCCGCGAUAUUGUGGGAUACGCUGAAAUGGUUUGGGUAUCAGUCCCCGCCAUUGUAUGCCGGGCGGUUGUAUAUGGAACAGGGCAUUCAGACAUGCCAGGUGCAGGCGUUGGUGCCACCUCCCCUUGUGCGGCCCGACUGGCCCUCCCUGGGCAUAAUAGCCUAUGGUCUUUCUCCGGAAGAUACGUGGGAGUCUGCUGCCCUUCAGUUGCUCACCCAGUUCUGUCAGUUGCACCCGGUGGAGAUCACGCUGGAUCCGAUCGGUCUUUUUCCCGUCAGGAGUCGGCUGGACCCGGCCUGGCUGGACCGCAUCGGAAACCUUGAGGUGCUGGCCACCACCUGUGCUAUGGUCACCAUCUCCACCAACGUCCGUUGCAUGGCUGCCCUCUACAGGUUGAUAGAGCUCCAGGGAAGAGCUAUGACUCUCUUCGCCUGUACGGCUGCCGAUACCUACGGUUACCUCCAGGCAGCAAGAAGAGACCUGGUAGGCCAAACCUACCAGCUGAUCCAACGUGGUAUCCAGAUCCACGAUAUGCAAGAUAGAAUCUCCGAGCUAGAAGGAGAAGUUGCCGACCUCAUGGACGGCAUGAUAGAACUCUCGGAGGAAAAGAUGGAGGUAGAAAUGGAGCUAGCAGUCGCCAAUGCCCAUCUAGAGGAGCACCAAGCCGAGCUCGAGGAUAUGCAUGCCCUCAACAUGCAGCACGAAGCUCAGGAGGACCCUGAGGAAGAUGAGGGAGCGUCCAGCAUGGACAUAGAAGAAGAUGGCGCCCCUUCUCCGACUCAUAGUGUCCAGUGGUAGCUUAAGGGUUCUCAGGGAACCUUCUUUCUUUUUGUUGUACUCCUCGGCAGCCUAGUUUUUGGAAAAGCUGUAAUAGGUUAGCCUUGAGUUGAGUACUCUCUGUGUUGAAACAUCGUUGUGCAUAAAGUUAACCCCGGUGCAUAGUUUCUCCUUUUCGUAUGGUGUGGAUGCUGGGUUGAGUAAGUGCGCUGUAACCCUAUGCUGUUUUCGGGGAGCCUGUUCAGUUGGUCGACCCUAGUUUGCGAGUCAGAGUGCGCCGGCCCUUGAGGCAGUCUCCGCCUCGUCUGACCCUUUCAAGUAUGGACUGUGUCCGACCCCUUGGUUUGCGUGGAUCAGAUUCUCGGAGUCUGUAUGUGGCAUGUGUGCCGGAAGUGGAGUACCAGGAUAAGUAGAGGUUAUCUAUGCUGAAAAUGGGAGGAAUGUGCUUCCUCUAUGCGGACGUGUGAUGCACCAUUGGCAAGAGUCACAUUAAAGGAAUUAAUUCAUACGUUCCCAUUUGUUGGAGUGCACCUAAGGAUAUGAGAAUUAAUGGGGCGUUAACUCUUGCAGAUGGCGCACCGCACGAGGUCUGGAACUAUGCCCAGUGGUAGUGAUCAGCGACAGGAUCUUCCCCCGCCCCCGCCCCCGUCGCCAUUGGAGGCCAUCCUAGCAACUCAAACCGAGCUGCUAAGGCAUCUGGUGCAAGGACAACACCAGCAGCCACAUGGUGGAAGAGCACAGCAGCAGCCGCAUGUCGCGCGGUACGAGGACUUUCUGGGGACACAGCCCCCGCUGUUCCAAAAGACACAAGAACCGCUCGACGCUGAUGCAUGGGUUCGUACGAUCGAAUCCAAGUUCGAGCUCCUUACCGCUCCAUGCCCCGACAACAACAAGGCGCGGUUUGCAGCUCAGCAGCUGCGUGGCUCCGCACGACUUUGGUGGGACCACUACCAUGCCAUGCUGCCUGCUGGCCACAUGGUCAGUUGGAACGAGUUCAAGACGGCGUUCAGAGCGCAUCACAUUCCCGAAGGUCUCCUGGAGCGUAAGCUCCACGAGUUUCUGGCCCUCACUCAAGGAACUUGGGAUGUGCUGCAUUACGCCCAAGCUUUCAAUGACCUAUGCCGCUAUGCUGGUUAUCAUGCGGACACCGAUGAGAAGAAGCGGGACCGAUUCCGCCAAGGACUGAGCUUCGAGCUCAGGGAGAGGCUGAACCCCAUCAGGGUGGACACCUACAACGAGUUGGUCAACCUGGCCAUCUCUCAGGAGGACUGCAUGCAAGCUCUCAAGGCCGACCAGAAGCGGAAGGCCUCUGUGGCAUUUCCGAGUCCCCCGACUCGAAGGUUCCGGAUGGUUCCUCCACAAACCCCUGGCUGACCCCAGCAGUCAGGGAAAUGGAUCGCCCGACCCCCGCCGGCAACAACACCUCGUUUUCCAGGCUUCCAACCGCAAGUGCCCCGGCCGACCCUGCUAACGCCGCUUCGCCCGACAGCCAGUAAUCGGUGUUUUACCUGCGACAAUGAAGGACACUUCGCAAAGGACUGCCCCAGGAACAAGAAUCAGCAACAAGGUCAGAACCCCAUGGCAGCCAGAGGAAGAAGGCCCAAGGUGCAAGUCCGACAAGGCCGACUCAACUACACCAGCUUGACCGAACUUCCCGAAGGUGCGUCAGUAAUGACGGGUGCUUUCCUUGUUUUAAAUCAAACUGUUGUUGUGUUGUUUGAUUCGGGAGCUUCUCAUAGCUUUAUCGGGAAUAAGGCAAGGGAAAGAUGUGGGCUAAGUGUCGGUCACACUAAGGAACCCUAUGUGAUCGCCACUCCUGGAGGAAGGAUAACGUCGGAUCAGGUCGUUAUUCUUGCACCUCUCCAGGUAGGCCCCACCCUCUUCAAGGAAAACCUUAUCAUCCUUGACCUGAAAGGCAUAGAUGUCAUCCUUGGUAUGGACUGGAUGGCCCGACAUCAUGUUGUUCUAGAUACCUCAGCCCGAUCUCUUUACAUCAGCUCGCCCUCUCAUGGCAGUUCUACCCUAUCUUUAACCCAUCCUGAGUCUUCGACUCCUUGUGCUUACCCUCUCUUGGGAGCCCGUCUAGAAGACCUCCCUGUUAUCUGUGAGUACCCUGAUGUGUUUCCAGAAGAUUUGCCGGGUAUGCCACCUGAUAGAGAAGUGGAGUUUUCCAUAAAGUUGAUUCCUGGCACAGCUCCGAUAUCUAAGAGACCCUAUCGGAUGCCACCCGCUGAGUUAGCUGUGUUGAAAACCCAGUUGCAUGAUCUGUUGGAAAAAGGUUUCAUUCGACCCAGUACAUCAUCUUGGGGUUGCCCCGCCCUGUUUGUGAAGAAGAAAGACGGCAGUUUACGGAUGUGUGUGGAUUACCGACCCCUCAAUGCGGUAACAAUCAAGAAUAAGUACCCGCUGCCACGCAUUGAUGUCUUGUUCGAUCAAUUAUCUGGAGCAAAAGUGUUCUCCAAGAUCGAUCUUCGUUCUGGUUAUCACCAAAUCAAGAUUCGACCCUGUGACAUACCCAAGAUAGCUUUCUCUACCAGAUAUGGACUGUACGAGUACCUAGUCAUGUCCUUUGGACUCACCAAUGCACCCGCCUAUUUCAUGUAUCUUAUGAACUCGGUGUUCAUGCCCGAGCUGGACAAGUUUGUAGUGGUGUUCAUUGAUGAUAUCCUAGUGUACUCGAAGGACGAGAAAGAGCAUGCCGACCAUCUUCACAUAGUUCUCCAACGUCUGAGAGAUCACCAGCUUUAUGCUAAGUUCUCCAAGUGUGAGUUUUGGUUAGAUAGUGUCAAGUUUCUUGGACACACUAUCUCUAAGGAUGGUAUCGCCGUGGAUCCCAGCAAGGUGCAAGAAGUCAUGGAAUGGAAGUCUCCUACCUCAAUACACCAGAUCAGGAGUUUCCUUGGACUUGCAGGUUACUAUCGGCGUUUUAUACCGGAUUUCUCCAAGAUAGCUAAGCCGAUGACUGAGUUCCUAAAGAAAGAGGCCAAGUUUGUGUGGGACGUCAAGUGUGAAAAAGCCUUCAAGACCCUGAAGCACUUGCUAACCACCGCCCCAGUUUUGGCUCAACCCGACCCCUCUAGGCCGUAUGACGUAUACUGUGACGCCUCUGGCACUGGACUCGGAUGUGUUCUUAUGCAAGACAGACGAGUCAUUGCCUAUGCCUCACGUGCGUUACGACCUCAUGAGCUAAACUACCCGACACAUGACCUUGAGUUGGCAGCAGUGAUACAUGCCUUAAAGAUAUGGAGGCACUAUCUAAUGGGAUCUCACUGCAACAUCUACACCGACCACAAGAGCCUCAAGUACAUCUUCACUCAAGCCGACCUCAACAUGCGUCAGAGAAGAUGGCUAGAGUUGCUAAAGGAUUACGAGUUGGAAGUGCACUAUCAUCCUGGCAAGGCCAAUGUGGUAGCCAAUGCCCUCAGUCGCAAACCCCAUUGCAACUGCUUGUUGUCGACAGCCUUCACCAAAACCCUGUGUCACGAGAUGGGAAAGCUAAGUUUGGAGAUUGUUCCUCAUGGAACCCUUGGUCACAUCAUCCUUAACUCAGUUUUGGAGGACCAAAUUCGGUCAGCACAAGUUAAGGAUGAAGAAAUAAAACGGAUCAUCAGCAAGAUCUCAGUAAAAGAUGAAGGAUAUAAGCAAUUCCGUCAGGACGAAACGGGAGGUGUGUAUUAUGGAAACAGACUAGUAGUGCCCGCCGACCCCGAGUUAAGGAAGCAAAUCCUAGAUGAAGCUCAUCUCUCCAAGUUCUCGAUCCAUCCUGGUAGCAAUAAGAUGUACUAUGAUCUUCGUCAAACCUUUUGGUGGAGUGGAAUGAAACCAGAGAUAGCUCGUUAUGUUUCAGAAUGUGACACCUGUCAACGUGUCAAGGCCAGUCAUUUGAAGGUAGCAGGAACCUUGCAGCCGCUACCUAUUCCCUCUUGGAAAUGGGAAGACAUCAGCAUGGACUUCAUAGUUGGAUUACCCGUUACAACUCAACGGUAUGAUUCCAUCUGGGUUAUCGUGGAUCGUCUGACCAAGACGGCACACUUCCUACCUGUUCGUACCACCUACACAGUCAAGCAAUAUGCAGAGUUGUACCUCGACCGUAUCGUUUCCUUACAUGGUGUACCCAAGACUAUCGUCUCGGAUAGAGGAGUUCAGUUUGUGGCACGUUUUUGGGAACAACUAGAAGCAUCUAUGGGCACCAAGCUCAUCCGAAGCUCGACAUAUCAUCCUCAGACCGAUGGCCAAACCGAGAGAGUCAACCAGAUUCUUGAAGAUAUGUUAAGAGCCUGUGUUAUCCACUAGGAUAAAAACUGGGACAAAUGUUUGCCCUUAGCGGAAUUCUCCUACAAUAACAGCUAUCAGGCCAGUUUGAAGAUGGCACCAUUUGAGGCCCUGUAUGGCAGGAGAUGCAGGACACCCUUGAACUGGUCCCAACCAGGAGAAAGGCAGGUCUAUGGCCCUGACUUAGUGGCAGAAGCCGAAGAGCAAGUGAAGGUAAUUCAAGCGAAUCUCACAGCUGCCCAAUCUCGACAAAAGAGUUACUCCGACCAGCGAAGAAGACCCCUGCAGUUCGACCUUGGUGAUCAUGUGUAUCUUCGAGUCUCCCCGACCAAAGGAGUGCAACGGUUUGGAAUAAAAGGCAAGUUAGCGCCUCGCUAUGUUGGCCCUUAUGAGAUUGUGGAGAUAUGUGGACCCGUUGCUUACCGGAUCCAACUCCCAGAGCAGCUGUCGGCAAUACAUGAUGUUUUUCAUGUGUCUCAACUGAAGAAAUGUGUCCGAGUUCCAACAGAGAUCUUAGAACAAGCACAGCUUCAGGUAGAGCCCGACCUGACCUACGCCGAGUACCCAGAUCGAGUUCUUGACCAAAAGGAAAGGCACACACGACGCCAAGUGGUAAAGAUGUACAAGAUCCUUUGGAGAAAACACACCGAAGACGAAGCAACAUGGGAAACGGACGAAUAUCUGAACAAGCGUUUUCCAGGUUUUCUGUCCCAUCAAGGAGGUAAGAACAGCACACCCUUUUGAUCUCUGAAUCUCGGGACGAGAUUCUUUUAAGGGGGGUAGGCUGUAACGACCGACCCCUAAGCCUUCCCAGUUAGGCUUAAUCCCAUCCCUUAACCUUAGUCAGCUGUUUGGCUUGACCGCACCUAAGUGCCCAGUUUUCUGCCGGUCCCGACCCCUGAGAUCCGACCCUUGCCUGCUUCGCUCCUCUCCCGACCCCGGCGAGCUCAGUUCACCGUCAGAUCCUGCUGAACUCCCUCCCCCAUCAGAUCUAUCCACAGGUGGACCCGCGAGAUCUUUUCCAGAUCCCCCGCGACAGCCGCACUCGAGUUGCAUGGCCGCCCCCAGAGUUUCCUUGCCGCGUGGCUCGUUUUCUCCGACGCCACCGCUCAGUUUUGUCUCAGGCAAGCAGCAGAGUGGGUUCCCGCGCCCCUUUUCCCCAAUAGCAGCGGAAGCCCUCUGCACCCCUUUCUGCAGAGCCUCGCCUCCCGCACCCAUCAUCACGCUACCAGAUCCCGGCCCCGGAGACCGAUGUCACCCGUCUUUUCCGUCCCUUCAGCCACAGUUGCGCCGCCCGGUCGUCGCUACACGACGAUUCCUCUACCGCCAACCCCGACCGCGGCCGCGACAGUUCCUUUCCCCGCUCUGUCAGAAGCCGCCCGACAAUCUGUUGUUCCGCGCUCUCCCCCGUGCUCGCGUUCGCCUAUCUUCUCAGCUGUGCGCCCUCGAUCCUAGCGCCGUUUAACCGGUCGCUUCUAUCACCUCUUCCGCACGACGACGCCCGCUCUCCGCCAAAUCCCAACCACCAGUCUACUCGCCCCUACGCCGCCCUGACGGCAGAACGCAAUGAUCGCUAGCGUCACCCCCGGAGUUCUGCAGCACCGCCCUCUUUGCUCAAUCGCCGCCACGACAGAGCACUCCAUUGCUUCUCCCCGGCCUUCGCGCCGCUCCACUUCUCUCUCUCCGCGCCGUUUCCGUUCCUUUACCUCAGCAGCUAUAAAAGGAAUGCCCCCGCCGCCGGAGUUCCCUCCGCUCUUGUUGCCCUUAGCUUCUCUCGCUACCUGCUCAAGCUCCUAGCGCCAUACACCAAGUCCUGAGGAGCUCUGCUCUCAGAUUCUCUCAGUUUUCUCCAAGUCACCCAGCAGCUUGCUCCCCGUGCUGCGUAAGAGCUCUCUUGUGUUCCGCAAGAAGCAGCGCCGCCGCCGGAGCAUUGCCAGUCUUAGCCCUUGCUCGAAGCCUUAGUUCCUCCGCCCAAGUCUGCUUCUUCCCGACCCCAAGCUUUCCUUUCAGGAAGAAGGUGAGUUGCCGACCCCCAGUCCACCUCGCCCGACCCCUCCUAUCCGCCCGACCCCAGUUCCGUCUCGUCCGACCCCGUCUGUUCGGCCGACCCUUAUCCGCCUCGCCCGAGGGCUUGGCUGUGAUCUUUUUCUUCAACUCGAGGGUGUAUGUGUAAAACUUGGGAAACCUUCAGCGCUUGCGUCUAAGGACCCCGGGUUUCUCACGUCCUCUAGUUCAAGGAUCAGACCACUAGUUCUUUUUCCACCCUUACCUUUUGGUUAGCAACAGCUCUCGAACCACCAUCGCCUCCUGCUCUUUGUCGCGAGUUUCUGGGCUCAGGCGAGCCAGUGUUGCUGUUGAACUAACUGUCUGAGCUAACCCUUGCAUUGCAUUCGUGUAGAGCUGCACCUCGCCGACGGUUUCUACGAGCUUCACCCGGCGCCCGAAGAAGAAGCUGUAGCCGAGUUCCUGCCCUCCGAAGUCGAAGUCGCUCCCGGAGCCGAGCAGUUCCCGUCCUCCUUGCUUGAAGGCAAGCCCCGGUUGCAUCAAAGUCCUACGUGUUUUACCAGACUUGCGCAUGCCUUCUGCAUCAUGCCUAUGCAUUUACGUAUAGGAGUUGUUUGAAACCCUAGAUGCAUGCCUGAGUUAUCCCCAUGAUCUGAACACUAGCUGUUGGACCGAGUAGCUGCAUUGCUUAACUAGGAAAACGGUAAAAACCGAGUGAUUUCCUGUCACUCGCGAGUUAUAGGAGUUGCAUGUUUACUUUCCUGUUAUAACUAUAAGGACGAUGGACGGGGCAGGGUUUGGGUAACUCUUUGGUGGAUGGAUGUUAGCCCCGUCUGUCUAUGAAAAUUUGCUAAGGCCCGACAGUGGUGGUGUUCGUGAUCAAGUGUUUGAAAGUACUAGCCUCAUACUUAGUAUGGGAUGAGGAAGCCUAGUACCGGAUUGAACCUAGACGUGAGCGGUCGCCCCAUUGUUCUUGGAACGGAGUUUCCCCUGCUGGUUGUCGCACGUGGUGGCAAUGUGUGGUCACAGGACGGCAGAGGCCGGUUCUGUGGAACCUUGCACCAAAGGAAAUGGGCCCGACACGGGUUAGGGGAUUGAUGGGGAAGGCCGACACAGGAAGCGACCUCCGGGUGCGCGGAUGUCGUGAGGCUAGGUUCACCAUGCAUGGUUAAAGAACUCGAAUCGAUUCAUCUGCCUCUCACAGUCUGAGAUUGCUUGAUCGCUAUGUCACCCUGAGUAAUUGAGGAAUCUGAUGAUGGCAAUGUUGUUUGUUAUAUCUACACAUCUUGUUUGGCUCUACGGUUUCUUAGAAUAGUUGGCAAAACCUAGAUCGGUUAAUCAACUUAGAACCGGAGCUAAAACUUGAAAAGAGGUUAUACUUAGUGCUUUUGGCAAACAAACCCCUCAGCCAAGAAGCCUUGCAUGUCUAGUAGGAGGAGUAGUCCUUACUCCUAUCGGUUAAGUCUUGUUGAGCUUAGUAGCUCAGCCUUGUUGUGGCUUCUGUUUUCAGGUGAAGUGGCCGCAUCCGACCCCUCUCUGGUUGGUGCUUGGCUGCCCCAGCUCCCGCCAGGCUGGACGGUCGAGUGGGACCCCUCCUCGGACGGUGAGGAGAGGACUCAGUGAUGUUCCGGCUGGCCUCGCCCGGACAUCCGACCCUGACGAAGUCUUCCGCUAGUGUUUCUCUGUCGUUUUCUUUGAGCUCUGUAAAACUCUGAUGUUAAUUUUUUUUGGCUGAACUAAUGGAGUAAGACUUGCUUAACUCACUGGACUUGUUGUAUUCUCUGUAACCGCUCACCUUUGUGUGGGUUUGCUAGACUCGAUCCUGUUUAAGUGGUUAAAUCGGAUGAAAUCCGAUGGCACUUCGUGUUAGCUUGAGUUAGGCAGGAGUGUCGCAUGUUAGGUGGCUUAACCCUGUUUAAUCAAGCUAAUCCGAGGUGGUUCCACCACAACACAGCUAAGAUAGAUGCUAACUAACAUGGCAAUGAGAAGAGUGUAUCUCCCUUAUUAGGAUGUGUGUUACUUUAUCAGCAGGAGUUGCAUCGGAGAAAUUUAACUUAUGCGUUCCAUCUGUUGGAGUACUUUUAAGAUUAUGAAUUUAAUGGAACGUUAACUCUUGCAGAUGGCGCAUCGCACCAGAUCUGGUUCUGUGCCCGGCAGCAGUGAGCAAAGAUAAGAUCUUCCCCCACCCCCACCCUCGUCUCCACUAGAGGCAAUCCUAGCGGCUCAAACCGAGCUGCUGAGGCAUCUUGUACAAGGACAACAGCAGCAGCCCCAUGGCGGAAGAGCUUAGCAGCAACCUCAUGUUGCUCGGUAUGAGGACUUCUUGGGGACACAGCCCCCUUUGUUUCAAAAGACAAAAGAACCGCUCGACGCCGACGCCUGGGUUCGUACGAUUGAAUCCAAGUUCGAGCUCCUCACCGCCCCGUGCCCCAACCAUAACAAGGCCCGGUUCGCAGCUCAGCAGCUGCGUGGUUCCGCCCGGCUCUGGUGGGACCACUACCAUGCUAUGUUGCCGGCUGGCCAUGUGGUCAACUAGAACGAGUUCAAGACCGCGUUUAGAGCGCAUCACAUCCUGGAAGGUCUCCUGGAGCGCAAGCUCAACAAGUUCCUGGCUCUUACCCAGGGAACCCGAGAUGUACUGCACUACGCCCAAGCUUUCAAUGACUUGUGCCGUUAUGCCGGCUAUCAUGCGGACACAGACGAGAAGAAGCGGGACAGAUUCCGCCGAGGACUAAGUUUGGAGCUCAGAGAGAGGUUGAACCCCAUCAAGGUGGAUACCUACAACGAGUUGGUCAACCUGGCCAUCUCACAAGAGGAUUGCAUGCAGGCUCUCAAAGCCAACCAGAAGAGGAAGGCCUCCGUGGCAUUUCCGAGCCAGCCAACUCGAAGGUUCAGGAUGGUUCCUCCACAAGCGCCCAGCCGACCCCAGUAGUCGGGAAGGUGGAUUGCCCGACCCCCAUCAGCAACAGCGCCCCGUUUUCCCGGCUUCCAACCACAGGCGCCCCGACCGACCCCACCAGCACCACCCCGCCCUGCAACUGGUAACCGCUGCUUCACCUGCGGCAAUGAAGGGCACUUUGCUAAGGACUGCCCCAGGAACAGAAAUCAGCAGCAUGGCCAGAACCCCAUUGCGAACAGAGGAAGAAGGCCCAAGGUGCAAGUUCGACAAGGACGGCUCAACUACACCAGCUUGACCGAACUCCCCGAAGGUGCGCUAGUGAUGACGGGUACUUUCUUUGUCUUAAAUCAAGCUGUUGUUGUGCUGUUUGAUUCGGGAGCCUCCCAUAGCUUCAUCGGGAGUAAGACUAGAGAAGGAUGUGAGCUGAGUGUCGGUCCCACUAAAGGAUCAUAUGUGAUCGCCACUCCGGGAGGGAAGAUAGCCUCGGAUCAGAUCAUUCCUCUUGUACCUCUCCAGCUAGGCCAAACUCUGUUUAAGGAGAAUCUUAUCAUCCUUGACCUGGAAGGAAUGGAUAUCAUCCUCAGGAUGGAUUGGAUGACCAGACACCAAGUGGUUCUAGAUACAGCUACCCGAAUUCUCCACAUCAACUCACCCUUUCAUGGCAGUUCUACCCUAUCCUUGAAACAUCCCAAAUCCGCACUUCCUUGUGCAUACCCUCUAUCGGAAGCCCGGCUAGAAAGCCUCCCUGUUGUCUGUGAGUACCCGGAUGUGUUCCCAGAAGACUUUCCUGGCAUGCCACCUGAUAGAGAUGUGGAGUUUUCCAUAGAGUUGAUCCCCGGCACCGCUCCGAUAUCCAAGAGACCCUAUCGGAUGCCGCCUGCCGAGUUGGCCGAGUUGAAGACCCAGUUGCAUGAUCUGUUGGAGAAAGGCUUCAUCCGACCCAGCACAUCACCUUGGGGUUGCCCCGCCCUGUUUGUGAAGAAGAAGGAUGGGAGUUUACGCAUGUGUGUGGACUACCGACCCCUCAAUGCGGUGACUGUCAAGAACAAGUACCCACUGCCACGCAUCAAUGUCUUGUUUGAUCAGUUAGCUGGAGCAAAAGUGUUCUCCAAGAUCGAUCUUCGUUCGGGUUAUCACCAAAUCAAGAUCCGACCCUGCGAGAUACCCAAAACAGCCUUCUCCACAAGAUAUGGACUCUACGAGUACCUAGUCAUGUCCUUUGGACUCACCAAUGCACCCGCCUAUUUCAUGUACCUCAUGAACUCGGUAUUCAUGCCCGAGCUGGACAAGUUUGUGGUGGUGUUCAUUGAUGAUAUCCUCGUGUACUCGAAGAGCGAAGAAGAACAUGCCAACCAUCUUCGCGUAGUUCUCCAAUGGCUGAGAGAUCAUCAACUCUAUGCCAAGUUCUCCAAGUGUGAGUUCUGGUUAGAUAGUGUCAAGUUUUUAGGACACUCUAUCUCCAAGGAUGGCAUAGCCAUCGACCCCAGCAAGGUACAGGAAGUCAUGGACUGGAAGCCUCCUGCCUCAGUGCACCAGAUCAGAAGUUUCCUUGGACUGGCAGGCUACUAUCGGUGUUUCAUACCGGAUUUCUCCAAGAUAGCUAAGCAGAUGACAGAACUGCUGAAGAAGGAGGUCAGAUUCGUGUGGAACGACAAGUGUGAAGAAGCAUUCAAGACCCUGAAGCACUUGCUGACCACAGCCCCAGUUUUGGCCCAACCCGACCCCUCUAGGCCGUUUGACGUGUACUGUGACGCCUCUGGCACUGGACUUGGGUGUGUUCUUAUGCAAGACAAUCGAGUCAUUGCCUAUGCCUCACGGGCGUUACGACCUCAUGAGCUGAACUACCUGACCCAUGAUCUUGAGUUGGCAGCAGUGAUUCAUGCCUUAAAAAUAUGGAGACACUACCUGAUGGGCACCCACUGCAACAUCUACACCGACCACAAGAUUCUCAAGUACAUCUUCACUCAAGCCGACCUCAACAUGCGCCAACGGAGAUGGUUAGAGUUGAUAAAAGACUAUGAUUUGGAAGUUCACUAUCAUCCCGGCAAGGCCAAUGUGGUGGCCGAUGCUCUUAGUCGCAAGACCUUUUGCAACUGCUUGUCGGCAACAACCUUCACCGAGACUUUGUGUCACGAGAUGGGAAAACUUAGUCUGGAAAUUGUUCCCCAUGGAACCCUCGGCCACAUAGCUCUUGAGUCUGUUUUAGAAGACCAAAUAAGGUCAGCACAAAUGGAGGAUGAGGAAGUAAAGUGGAUCACCAAGAAGAUCUCCUUGAAAGAUGAAGGAUAUAAGCAGUUUUGGCAGGACGAAACUGGAAACGUAUAUUAUGGAAACCGACUGGUUGUACCAUCCGACCCCAACCUUAAGAAGCAGAUCCUAGAUGAAGCUCAUCUCUCCAAGUUCUCAAUCCAUCCUAGCAGCAAUAAGAUGUACCAUGAUCUCCGUCAAACCUUUUGGUGGAGUGGAAUGAAGCCGGAAAUUGCCCGGUAUGUUUCAGAAUGUGACACCUGUCAACGUGUCAAAGCCAGCCAUCUAAAGGUAGCGGGUACCCUGCAGCCCCUACCUAUUCCCUCUUGGAAAUGGGAAGACAUCAGCAUGGACUUCAUAGUUGGACUGCCCCUUAGAUCACAGCGACAUGACUCCAUCUGGGUUAUAGUGGAUCGUCUGACCAAGACCGCCCACUUCCUUCCUGUCCGCACCACCCACACAGUCAAACAGUAUGCAGAGUUGUACCUCGACCGCAUAGUUUCCCUACACGGUGUACCUAAGACCAUCAUCUCUGAUCGAGGAAUUCAGUUUGUGGCACGCUUUUGGGAACAGCUACAAGCAUCCAUGGGCACCAAGCUCAUCCGUAGUUCAACCUAUCAUCCUCAAACCGAUGGUCAAACCGAAAGAGUCAAUCAAAUCCUGGAAGACAUGUUAAGAGCUUGUGUCAUCCACUAUGACAAGAAUUGGGACAAGUGCUUGCCCUUGGCGGAGUUUUCCUACAACAAUAGCUACCAGGCCAGUUUGAAGAUGGAACCAUUUGAAGCCUUAUAUGGCCGGAGAUGUCGGACACCUUUGAAUUGGUCACAAACUGGAGAAAGACAAACCUAUGGUCCUGACUUAGUGGUAGAAGCCAAAGAGCAAGUGAAGGUAAUUCAAGCAAAUCUCAAGGCUGCCCAAUCUCGACAGAAGAGCUACUCCGACAGACGAAGAAGACCCCUGCAGUUUGACAUUGGUGAUCAUGUGUAUCUUCGAGUCUCCCCGACCAAAGGAGUGCUACGGUUUGGAGUGAAAGGAAAGUUGGCUCCCCGCUACAUUGGCCCUUAUGAGAUUGUGGAGAUCUGUGGACCCAUUGCUUACCGGAUCCAACUCCCAGAACAGCUAUCGGCCAUACACGAUGUCUUCCAUGUGUCUCAACUGAAGAAAUGUGUCCAAGUUCCAACCGAGAUCUUAGAGCAAGAGCAGCUUCAGAUCGAGCCCGACCUAACCUACGCCGAGUACCCAGACAGAGUUCUUGACCAGAAGGAGAGGCAUACCCGGCGCCACGUGGUUAAAAUGUACAAGAUCUUAUGGAACAACCACACAGAAGAUGAAGCAACAUGGGAAACAGACGAGUAUUUGAACAAGCACUUCCCAGGUUUUCUGUCUCGUCAAGGAGGUAAGAACGGUACACCUUACUCUUACACCUGAAUCUCGGGACGAGAUUCUUUUUAAGAGGGGUAGGCUAUGACGACCGACCCCGAAAUCUUCCGAGUUAAUCUUAAUCCGAGCCUCUGAUCACCUGUCUUAGUUUUCCAAGCUUAAGUGUUCAACCUCCCGACCGGUCCCGACCCCUGAGACCCGACCCCUCUCCGCUGGCCUCCAGUUCCAACCCCGUCGACCCCAACUCACCGCCGGAUCUUUCUGAGUCAUCCCCCAACACCUCCCUUUAAUAUGACCGGUGGGCCCACAAGAUCUUUUCUCCCAGAUCCCCCGUGACAGGCGCACUCGAGUUGCAUGCUCGCUUCAGAGUUCCCCCGCCACGUGGCUCAACUCCUCCGACGUCCGCCGCUCGGCCUCGUCUUCGGCCCGCGACCAAAUUGAUUCUCGCGCCCUCCUCCCCAAUCGCAACGGAAGCCCCUCUGCAACCUUUCUGCAGCACCUCGCCGCCCGCGCCCAUCAUCACAUCGCUAGAUCCCGGCCGCAGAGCCCGAUGUCGCCCGUCUUUUCCGUCACCUCGCCACAGUCGCGCCGCUUGGUCUUCGCUACCCGACGAUUCCCCCUCCGCCAACCCCGACCACGGCAGCGACAGCUCCUUUUCCCGCCCUGUCAGAGGCCGCCCGACAAUCUAUUGCUCUGCGCUCGCCCGCGCACCCGCAGCCGCCUGUCUUCUCACCUGUGCGCCCUCGUUCCUAGCGCCGUUAUCCUGGUGACUUCCAUCAGCUCCACCGCACGACGACGCCCGCCUCCGCCAAAUCUUAACCACCGGCAAACCCGCGCCUGCGCCGCCCUGACGCCAGAGCCCAAUGACCACCGGCGUCAUCCCCGAAGUCCUGCUCCACCGCCCUUGUCGCUCAAUCGCCGCCCGGGCAGAGCACUCCAUUGCUUCCUCCCCGGCCUUCGCGCCGCUCCCCUUCUCACUCCAGCGCCGGUAUAAAAGGGAAUGCGCGAGCCCCGCCGGAGUCCCCUUCGCCAUUGCUACCCUUCCGCCAUUCCUCUUGCUCCCUGUUCGAGCUCCCAGCGCCACCACACUAAGUCCCUGAGGGAUUCUCCUCUCCGCUCCACACCAUUUUCCCCAAUCCACCCAGCAGCUUGCUCCUCCGUGCUGCGUAAGAGCUUACUUGUGAUCCACAAGAAGCACCGCCGCCACCGGAGCACCGCCGGGCCUCGUCGCUGUUCAAAGCCUUAGUCCCUCCGCCCAAGUCUGCUUCUUCCCGACCCCAAGCUUUCCUUGUAAGAUGAAGGUAAGCUGUCAACCCCUUUUCCGCCUCGUCCGACCCUUCUGUUCGUCCAACCCCUUUUCCGUCUCACCCGACCCUGUCUGUUCUGCCGACCCUUGUCCACUUCGCCCGACCCCUUUUAUCCGCCCGACCCCGGUUCCGUCUCGCCCGACCUUGUCUGUUCCGCCGACCCUUCUCCGCCUCGCCCGAGGACUUGGCUGUAUCUUUUUUUCCUUGACCUGAGGGUAUAUGUGUAAAACUUGGGGACCUUUCAGCGUUGAGUCUGAGGACCCCUAGCACACCAAAUCCUCUAGAUUAAGGGUCAGAUCCUAAGUUUCCUUCCUCCGACCCUUACCUCUUGAUCUCCACCCACUCCUUUGAACCUCCCCACCCUCCUGUU